rnacentral:rRNA from 1 species
CCUACGGGUGGCUGCAGUGGGGAAUAUUGGACAAUGGGCGAAAGCCUGAUCCAGCCAUGCCGCGUGUGUGAAGAAGGCCUUCGGGUUGUAAAGCACUUUCAGUGGGGAAGAAAGCCUUGGGGCUAAUACCCGCGAGGAAGGACAUCACCCACAGAAGAAGCACCGGCUAACUCCGUGCCAGCAGCCGCGGUAAUACGGAGGGUGCGAGCGUUAAUCGGAAUUACUGGGCGUAAAGCGCGCGUAGGCGGUCUGAUAAGCCGGUUGUGAAAGCCCCGGGCUCAACCUGGGAACGGCAUCCGGAACUGUCAGGCUAGAGUGCAGGAGAGGAAGGUAGAAUUCCCGGUGUAGCGGUGAAAUGCGUAGAGAUCGGGAGGAAUACCAGUGGCGAAGGCGGCCUUCUGGACUGACACUGACGCUGAGGUGCGAAAGCGUGGGUAGCAAACAGGAUUAGAUACCCUGGUAGUC